ACUCCUACGGGAGGCAGCAGUGGGGAAUCUUGGACAAUGGGCGCAAGCCUGAUCCAGCCAUGCCGCGUGAGUGAUGAAGGCCUUAGGGUCGUAAAGCUCUUUCGCCAGAGAUGAUAAUGACAGUAUCUGGUAAACGAAACCCCGGCUAACUCCGUGCCAGCAGCCGCGGUAAUACGGAGGGGUUAGCGUUGUUCGGAAUUACUGGGCGUAAAGCGCACGUAGGCGGAUUAGUUAGUCAGAGGUGAAAUCCCGGGGCUCAACCCGGAACUGCCUUGAUACUGCUAGUCUUGAGUUCGAGAGAGGUGAGUGGAAUUCCGAGUGUAGAGGUGAAAUUCGUAGAUAUUCGGAGGAACACCAGUGGCGAAGGCGGCUCACUGGCUCGAUACUGACGCUGAGGUGCGAAAGUGUGGGGAGCAAACAGGAUUAGAUACCCUGGUAGCGACUGA
rnacentral:rRNA from 1 species